GGAGAGACUGUAGCUCAGUGGACAGGGCACCUGCUUGGCCUGCAGAAGGUCCCAGGUUCAAUGCCCCCUGACAUCUCCG